UACGUAGGGUGCGAGCGUUGUCCGGAAUUAUUGGGCGUAAAGAGCUCGUAGGCGGUCUGUCGCGUCUGCUGUGAAAACCCGAGGCUCAACCUCGGGCCUGCAGUGGGUACGGGCAGACUAGAGUGCGGUAGGGGAGAAUGGAAUUCCUGGUGUAGCGGUGGAAUGCGCAGAUAUCAGGAGGAACACCGAUGGCGAAGGCAUUUCUCUGGGCCGUAACUGACGCUGAGGAGCGAAAGCGUGGGGAGCGAACAGG
rnacentral:rRNA from 1 species